rnacentral:lncRNA from 1 species
ACCACGCUGAGAGAAAGGGAGGCGCGCGCAGUGUUCGCGCGGGCCGAGUUGGAAUGGGCCGGCCUGCGGCCCAGCUUCCGGUCCGUCCACUGCGCAGUGUCUUUUUCUUUUUCUUUUUUGCAGUUUUUGCUUGAUAUUUGAAAUUAUGUAUUAAAUUGUGUAGUGAUCCAAAAAUAGUGAAAUUUUUUGUAUAGCUUCCUUAAAAUGAGUAGAACACAUGAAAAAUAUUUGGUUAUAUUUUCUGGUAGUUUGCAUGUAUGUAAAAAUUGCCUCUAUUUAAUAAUAAAUAAAUCUUCCAUGAAUUUUAAUAAUUUAUGGGUAUAUCCAAAAAUCAUGAAAUUUAAUAUGUGAACUUGUGUUACUGUUAUCUAGCUUCAGGAAUAAUUUCAGCUCUGUUUGAUUAAGUA